rnacentral:rRNA from 1 species
GAUUAGCGGCGGACGGGUGAGUAACACGUGGGUAACCUGCCUGUAAGAUUGGGAUAACUCCGGGAAACCGGAGCUAAUACCGGAUAACAUUUUGAACCGCAUGGUUCAAAAUUAAAAGGUGGCUUUUGCUACCACUUACAGAUGGACCCGCGGCGCAUUAGCUAGUUGGUGAGGUAACGGCUCACCAAGGCAACGAUGCGUAGCCGACCUGAGAGGGUGAUCGGCCACACUGGGACUGAGACACGGCCCAGACUCCUACGGGAGGCAGCAGUAGGGAAUCUUCCGCAAUGGACGAAAGUCUGACGGAGCAACGCCGCGUGAACGAUGAAGGCCUUCGGGUCGUAAAGUUCUGUUGUUAGGGAAGAACAAGUACCAGAGUAACUGCUGGUACCUUGACGGUACCUAACCAGAAAGCCACGGCUAACUACGUGCCAGCAGCCGCGGUAAUACGUAGGUGGCAAGCGUUGUCCGGAAUUAUUGGGCGUAAAGCGCUCGCAGGCGGUUUCUUAAGUCUGAUGUGAAAGCCCACGGCUCAACCGUGGAGGGUCAUUGGAAACUGGGGAACUUGAGUGCAGAAGAGGAGAGUGGAAUUCCACGUGUAGCGGUGAAAUGCGUAGAGAUGUGGAGGAACACCAGUGGCGAAGGCGACUCUCUGGUCUGUAACUGACGCUGAGGAGCGAAAGCGUGGGGAGCGAACAGGAUUAGAUACCCUGGUAGUCCACGCCGUAAACGAUGAGUGCUAAGUGUUAGAGGGUUUCCGCCCUUUAGUGCUGCAGCAAACGCAUUAAGCA